AUACGGAGGGUGCAAGCGUUGUUCGGAAUUACUGGGCGUAAAGCGCGCGUAGGCGGUGUGCUAAGUCAGAUGUGAAAGCCCUCGGCUUAACCGGGGACGUGCAUUUGAAACUGGCAGACUUGAGUACUGGAGGGAGUGGUGGAAUUCCCGGUGUAGAGGUGAAAUUCGUAGAUAUCGGGAGGAAUACCGGUGGCGAAGGCGACCACCUGGCCAGAUACUGACGCUGAGGUGCGAAAGCGUGGGGAGC
rnacentral:rRNA from 1 species